CCUACGGGUGGCAGCAGUGGGGAAUAUUGCGCAAUGGGCGAAAGCCUGACGCAGCGACGCCGCGUGAGGGAUGAAGGUCUUCGGAUCGUAAACCUCUGUCAGCAGGGAAGCACGGUCACUGUGCUAAUCAGCAGUGAAUUGACGGUACCUGCAAAGAAAGCACCGGCUAACUCCGUGCCAGCAGCCGCGGUAAUACGGAGGGUGAGAGCGUUAAUGGGAAUUACUGGGCGUAAAGCGCGCGUAGGCGGUAUGUCAAGUCAAGGGGGAAAUCCCCGGGCUCAACGUGGGAACUGCCUGUGAAACGGGAAAACUGGAGGGUGUGAGAGGAUAGUGGAAUUCCAGGUGUAGGAGUGAAAUGCGUAGAUAUCUGGAGGAACAUCAGUGGCGAAGGCGACUAACUGGCACAUAACUGACGCUGAGGAGCGAAAGCGUGGGUAGCAAACAGGAUUAGAUACCCUUGCAGUC
rnacentral:rRNA from 1 species